rnacentral:rRNA from 1 species
CUACGGGGUGCAGCAGGCGAGAAAACUUUGCAAUGUGCGAAAGCACGACAAGGUUAAUCCGAGUGGUUUGUGCUAAACGAACCUUUUGACAGUCCUAGAAACACUGUUGAAUAAGGGGUGGGCAAGUUCUGGUGUCAGCCGCCGCGGUAAAACCAGCACCUCAAGUGGUCAGGAUGAUUAUUGGGCCUAAAGCAUCCGUAGCCGGCUCUGUAAGUUUUCGGUUAAAUCUGUACGCUCAACGUACAGGCUGCCGGGAAUACUGCAGAGCUAGGGAGUGGGAGAGGUAGACGGUACUCGGUAGGAAGGGGUAAAAUCCUUUGAUCUAUUGAUGACCACCUGUGGCGAAGGCGGUCUACCAGAACACGUCCGACGGUGAGGGAUGAAAGCUGGGGGAGCAAACCGGAUUAGAUACCCGGGUAGUC